AAGCAACAGGAACAAUUCCUCACUGUUCUCUGCUGAGACAAACGAACCCACGUGGGGGAGGGGAGACCCCACUCUCUGAUCCAUAACCUUUCCGUGUGAAGCCGCACAUCGGGGUGACACAAGUAAUUAGCUGUCAGGUGCUGGUCUUUGCUGUCAGAGGCCAAUUUUGAGAUUAGUGUUAAUUGCAGGGGGCCCUAACGGCCUUUGCUCUCCACCCAGCAGCACCCGGCAGGCGAGCUGCCCUCCGCAGCCUGCUGCCGGGUUCCUUUCGGCUUCCAGGACUGGGGCUGGCAGAGUGGAAUCAAUUAUGGGCCAGAGAGGAUUUUCCCACAGGUCUCACUUGGAGAUGAACGGCUAUUCCUGCUGCCCAGACAGCUGGCCGGACCGUCCACUGGGAAAGGAGCCUGUGGAGGGGAGUGCGGGCCCUGUCAGCAACACUGCUGACAGUCCAUCCGUUAUCCACAGGGCUUGGCAGAGGGUGGCUGAGCCACCCCUGCCUGUCCCCACGCUGCCUGGCUUCGGCACCUACCCUGGCUUCUACUGCAUCCCAACAUCCAGUGGCCCAAAUGGAAGAACCGAGAAAAAUCAAAUCCACUUUGCCUGGGGGUCAAGAGGAAACAGAGAAAGUGAAGGGCAUGGGAUGGACACAGCCUGAUAUUAAUGUUUGGAAGUUAGUGCCAACAACCCCACCAUAGUUUUAACAGGAUUACAGACUACUUAGAAACAAGCCGUUCCUAAAUGGUAAUGUACCAAAGCCAAUUUACCAAAGACAUUGAACACUUUUAGUUUUUGACCGAUGAAUUAACUAUUCCACUCUCCAUGACGAAGGCAUUUUAAAUGACAAUACAAGUCCACUGAUGUGGGGAGAUGGGGUUCAGCUGGUAGACUGCCUGCCUGCCUGGCAUGAACAAGGGGCCAGGCAGGAUGAGACAGGAAGAUCAGAAGUUCAAAGUCAUCUCUAUUCCACAUCAAGUUCCAGUGCAGCCUGGGAAUAUUCAGAGGGAGAGAGAGAGAGACAGAGACAGAGACAGAGACAGAGAGACAGAGAGAAAUACUAAAAGAAAGAUAUAAACACCAGUGCCACCUAUGAAAUGUAAAAUAUUAAUGGAUAAAAAUAUACCAAAUGUUCCUGACUCCUUUUUGUUUUAUUCUUUUAGGAAACUGGCAUUAAGGCUUUGGAUACCAGGUCUCAUGUAGGCCCAGGCUGGCCUCAAAUUCAGUAUGUAGCUAAAGAUAAACUCCUGCAGCUGCGUCCCCAGUCCUGGAUUACAAGUGACACCCUGUUUGUGUGGGGCUAGGGACUGCACCCUCAAGCAUGCUAAGGGAACACCAACAAGCCAGCUACCCCCCCACAACCUUCUUUUGUUGUUAUUACAGCUUUUGUGGUUGGUUUGUGUGAGAGAGGCUCCCAGCUGUCCAGAGUGGCGCUGAACUCACGCUAUCAUCCUGCCUCAGGUUUCCUAGUGCUGGGAUUAUAGGAGCUUCCCUAUCCGCAUUUUUUUUCUUUUUCCUUUUCUUUUUUAUGCACAUAAAAUUUCUAUGGAUCUUUGAGGGAGUUAGCUGUAUAAUUAAAACAGUCCUUGAUUACAGUUAUUCAGUUCAAAAUUAAAUAAAAGCAGGCAAAUAAUCAUGAGUCUGAAAUAUAAAACAGUGGAAUGUGGUUGUCCUUUGGGUGACAGGUUUGAGGCAGGAUGUCUCUUGGAAACAACCGAGAUAAAAGUAUGGGCGCCCCCUGACCGUACCUCUGGAAAUCAAAGCCGAGUGAUGGGGAGAACUAGUUCUCUUUCUUGUGACUGGUUCCCUGGUCUCCACUUGGAGGGACGCUGGAGGUAGGGGAGCAGAGGUGUUAGGAAUUUGGAGCCCCCCACCUGUGUGUAUAUGGGGUAAGGGACUCAUAGGUGACUGCUCUGAAAUGCACCCAUGACAACCCUAAAUGCUAAAUCCCAGAAUGAGGUCUGUGUGGCCAACACUCCAUUGUACAAUGUCCUGGUUAACCUUGAGCCAUCUUGACUCCCUGGUGACUGACUAAAAUAAUGCCCACACCCAAAUGAACCAGACCCAAAGUCUAUACAAUUCAGCGAAUGUCUAUGCAGUUAGAAUGGGCAUUUGGAACAGAAACUGUGAAACUUCAUACUAUAUUUUACACUUUCAGUACUGAAUCUAUUUUAUGUACUUGCCCACUACUCAAAUAGAAACUCCAUGACAGAAUCAGAACUAGAAAAACAAUUAGCAUUUUCUCCUCUGGCAUAACUGUCCAUUACCUGCACUCAGUCCUGGUUAGCUUGGGUGUGUGUUGUUUAUAUUUAUUUUCAAGUUUUUAAAUAGUAAGGUUUGCAUAAUUAAAAAUAAAAUAUAACUUAAAAAACAACAACCAAGUCACUCUAUUCUCUUUGCAAGCACCGUGCAGUCUCAGGUUGGCUGAGGCACAGGAGAUGUGAGCUGUGAUUCACUACUCUAUUUUCUGCUUUUAGAACAUUUCCCAAGUUUGCCUAUGGUGAUAUUUUAUUUGUAUUAAAAUGUUAUUUGUAUAUUAAUAAAUAAAGUUGCUCGGGGGUCAGAGCUAUUAGCAAGCCAUAGGAAAGCAGGGCAGUGGUGGCGUACACUUGUAAUCCCAGCACUUGGUAGGCAGAGCUGGGUAAGUCUCUGUGUGUUCAGGGAUACAGCCAUUAUUGGAUACACAUGCCUUUAAUCUCAAUACCAAUCAUAGAAAACCUGGAGGUCUAUACAGACAGGCCGUGAUGAGGCGGUCAUGUGGUUGGGUUUACAACCAAUGAGAAGGCAGAACAGGAACUCUAUAUAAAGACUUUAACACAGGGGUAGCUCUGGUUCGGAGAGGUAGGACCACUGCGGGAGGAAGGGUAAGGUUUUAGCUCUUAGCUCUGACCUCUUGGCUUUCUUCUUUGCAUUGGUUCUGUGUUUCUUAUUUAAUAAGAAGGUUGGUUACAUUUACAAAUGGCGUCCAACGUGGUGGCAAGAGUUUACACCUAAAAACUGAGAAAAAAGAUUCUAAAACGGAGCUAAAAACAGUUCCUAAUUGUCUCUCUCAAAUGAGUGGCAGCUGCUGGUUUGAGCUACUUGUGGGUUUCUGGUGUGCACGCUCGACCUGCAGUAUGGCGGGAAUGAAGCCUCUGCAAGUGGCACAUUAAGCUGUGUGGUGGAUUUAGCCUUUGCUAGUAUAAAACAAAAAAAGAAGUUUCUGGGCUACACGCUGCUUGGCUAAAAGCAUAGACCCACAAUAGCUCCCAGAGCUGGCGGUAAACGUACUUAUCACCACCAUGUUGGGAAGCUGAGGUGGGCUGAGCCAGCAGCCACAACUGCUGCAGUUUAAAGCAAUAGAUUCACAAUAAGACAGAUUCAGAUGUAAUAGUUUAAAUGUGUGUAAAAUAUACGUAGGCUUGAAAGAGACAAAAAAGUGAUAUAUAGUUAUAUAAACAAAUACAUAGUUUUAAAAAAUAAAGUCUUUAAAGAGACAGUAAAAUUAAUAUAAAAAAUAAGCCACGUAAAGAUGAAUAUUACACAGAGAAUCUGGAUUGUGUUGUCUUUGGGACUUUUAACUGCAGAAAAAUAUUUGAUCGUAAAAGAUGUUGAGGUAAACCAAUAUGUAUAUUUUAAAGGUACCUUGACUUCAAAAUUUGGAUAUAAGGAUAUGUUGCUUUGGAAAAGAGUCUCUGCUUUUGUUCCCACAGAAAGUCAAAGGCUACGGAUUUGUUCCAGAUUAAGAUACAUCAGGUUUGACCAGCCAAGACCCCCUGAAAGGUCUCCAAUGACACCAUGGCCCAGAUGAUCCAACAUCCAGAACGAUUUCAAGGCAACUGGCUCAGACGAUACAGCCUCAUGGACUAUUCCAUAAUCCUAAAAUUUUCUUUGUGUCCCCAUAAGAUACAGUGGCCCCCUCCAGCAGGAAGUAGUAAGAGAAGCCACACCCAAAUUCCCAAAUUGUAUGUAAUUUUACUUUGUUAAGGUUAAAACCUUCCUUUUUGGGAAAAAAAGGGGAAGUGCUGUGGGAUGUUCUGUGUGGCAAAUGUGUUGCUGAUUAGUCAAUAAAUAAAACACUGAUUGGCCAUUGGCUAGGCAGGAAGUGUAGGCGGGACAAGGAGGAGAAUAAAGCUGGGAAGUGGAAGGCUGAGUCAGAGAGACACUGCCAGCCGCCACGAUGAGAAACAGCAAGUGAAGAUGCCGGUAAGCUACGAGCCAUGUGGCAAGGUAUAGAUUAAUGGAAAUGGAUUAAUUUAAGCUGUAAGAACAGUUAGCAAGAAGCCUGUCACGGCCAUACAGUUUGUAACCAAUAUAAAGUCUCUGUAUUUACUUGGUCAGGUCUGAGCGGCUGUGGGACUGGUGAGUGAUAGAGAUUUGUCCUGACUGUGGGCCAGGCAGGAAAACUCUAGCUACAUUUGCCCCUUGAUUUUAUUGGCUGAAAAUUACAUUCUCUCCAUUCUGGCCAACAGAGAUGUCCAGCUGAGCCAAGGCCACCCUUCCGUGGGCGGAUGUCGCUGCACCCAACACGUUCUGAGCUGUCUUCCUUCUCCGCCCUUGGCCUACGAGGUUCUCAGGAACGGACGUCUCUCCUCUUUCCAGUAACGUCUAGCACGGAGACAGACGGCUGUCAACGAACAUUUGGGAAUUGUGAAGAAGUAGGUGUGGGCGGAUGAUGGAGGAGGCGAGAUGACAACAGAAGGGAGGAGCCACUUGCUGAGGAGUCGUGACACAUUUCCGUACUGUGCGGGCCAAGUCAUGGGAGGUCAUCAUCCAAGCCAGGUGCAUGGUCCUUGUUCUCCUGGGACCAGCUAGUACUGUGACUAGACACAGAAGGUCAGGCUACCCACAGAGACCCACCACUGGCAAUUACACACAAAAAGCUGGGUCAACUGUGUAACAAAUUGGCACUUACUGACAUGUUACUAAAUGCAAGGAGUGCCAAUGGUUCCAUGACCCUGGAAUAUGACCCAUGCCACAUUUACUUUUCUUUUCUUUAAAAAAGAUUUAUUUAUUUUAUUUUCUCUGUGUGACUGGUGCCUACAGAGGUCAGACAAGGGCAUCAGAUCCCUGGAACCUGAGUUAUGGAUGGCUAUGAACCACCUGUGGGUGCUGGGAAUUGAACUCAGAUCCUCUGCAAGAGCAGCAACAAGUGUUCUGACUGCUGAAACAUCUCCAGGCCCACAUUUGGUUUUCUAAACAGCAGUAAAUGAAGGUCUUCCCUUGACCGUAUAGUUGGAUUUAACUCCAGAUUCCAUUAUCCUUUUAAGGUUUCACCCCUUUGUGUGUCUGAGAGAGCAGAGUGAGUUCCCAGAGAUUCACAAUCCAGGUUGAUUAAGGGGAGCCUCUGGCCUUCGGCUCCGCAGGUUCACUGAGGGAGGCACAUUUGAUCCCUUCAUUCCCCAGAGCGCUAAGACCUCCAGAGUGUCCCACAGUGAGCCUUAGACAUGCACCAUGUCUCCCGGGGUCAAACAGCUUACUGCUGGGUGCCCAGACACUCACCCGUGCAGCUGAGGGCACCGCCACUGUUGGGCGCCCAGACACUCACCCGUGCAGCUGAGGGCACCGCCACUGUUGGGUACUGAGACACUCACCCGUGCAGCUGAGGGCACUGUUUGCAAUAGGUUGAGGUCCGCCAAGCCACUCACAGGACAACUUCUUGGGAUUUCAAAUGUGGGCGCGGUGUUAGGAGAGCCCCCUAUCCGAUGUCUUUCUGAGAUCAAGAUCCCCCACCUUGAAAGCUAUCCUGCCACACAGGCAGAAGAGAAAUGACAUUUCCUUUUAUUCUUCACCAAAGCUUUCAACUAUUUAAAAUUUUAAAUUAACACACAUAAGUGCUAGUGCUUGUAUUUAUGACUUAUGUGGUAUUUUAUACUUUUAUGUAUAAGUUGCACUUUGUUUUCAAAAAGAAAAGGGUGAACAUCUACCCCCUCAAAUUACUUCUUCAUGGAAAAGCCGUUAAAACCCCUUUAUUCUCGAUAGAGUCACCUACUGUAGAAGCAAACACCGGAAUCUUGUACUCCUGCCUAGCUACACCGCCUUUCCCCAUCUCCUCACUUCUCCAAUCUCCUGUCUCUAGGAAACACCGUUAGUCUCUCAGCUGCUAUAAGAACAACUUUUGAAAGAGUCUAACCCGGAGUGAGCUCCUGUGGUGCUUGUCUUUCUAUUCCUGGCUUAUUUCACUUGACAGGAUGACUUCUAGUUCCAACUGUACUGUUAUUAAUGAUGCCAUUUCAUGCCCGCCCCCCUGCUUUAUGCUUUAAUUGUAUUCCAUUGUGUAAAUUCACCGUGCUUUCCAAUUUGUUCAAAGAUUAAUUUUUUAUUCACCGGUAGUAAAAAUCCAAUGAUAUGUAAAUACUCCAAUCCUGGGUUGAGGCGAUGUAGGUCUACAGGGGUGUGGGGUGGGCUAGGUGCCAGGACUAACUAAAUAUGAGGCAUUUGGAAACAGAAACAUGCCCUGGGUAUUUAUACAGUCUGCUUACUGUCUUGACGUUCUACUUCAUAAACAGGUCUGUAACAGAUGCUAGUCUUACAAAUAUUAAAUUGAUGCCUUUUAUUUUCA